AUCGUAUGUUCCAUUCCAGAGGUUUUUCAUGAUGAAAACAUCAUCUCCCGGCUUGAACCCCAUAUUGCUUGUCGUUUUGUUUUCGGUGUGGUCGUACACUGCCUUUAAUGGUUUAUUCGGCAGGCCGACUGUUCCGUACAUGCUGUCCAGGGAGAUUGCAUCAUCGGAAGCAUCAAGCGACCCUGUUGUCAACUUACUUCGGAUGUGAAAGUGCAAACCAAAAAGUUACAGUUCGAGAGCAUCGAAAUGUCAGUUAUGAUGCCACGUAAACCAUUUUUUGAGGUACGUGAUGAUCUGCUACUUCCUGCAGCUAUUGAGAAUUCCCGGGUUCCAAAAAACGUAUAUGAGCUGUAACUACAAAAGCGGUUUAAUUUAAAACAUCGAGUAUCUUCUCCAAAAGUUUGGUUUGAAAAAUCAUCUUUUCUGAGCGGUCAUUCAGUUCGUACCUGUCGUACCAAUCAUCGACGUGCUUCAUAUAUUCACGAAAAUAGUGAAAUUCUGCAUUCUCACCCGGCAUAACCAACUUGUCCGUUCUUCUGACAUGGACGCUGCAUGGCGAAUACA